rnacentral:rRNA from 1 species
CCUACGGGAGGCAGCAGUGAGGAAUAUUGGUCAAUGGCCGGAAGGCUGAACCAGCCAUGCCGCGUGAAGGUCAGUGCCCUAUGGGCGUUAAACUUCUUUUGUGCGGGAGCAAUAAUGGUCACGUGUGGCCAGACGAGAGUACCGUACGAAUAAGCAUCGGCUGACUCCGUUCCAGCAGCCGCGGUAAUACGGGGGAUGCAAGCGUUAUCCGGAUUUAUUGGGUUUAAAGGGUGCGUAGGCUGUGAGGUAAGUCAGCGGUGAAAUGCCCCCGCUCAACGGGGUGAAGUGCCAUUGAUACUGCCUGGCUGGAAUGCGGAUGACGUGGGGGGAAUGUGUGGUGUAGCGGUGAAAUGCAUAGAUAUCACACAGAACACCGAUUGCGAAGGCAUCUCACGAAUCCGCGAUUGACGCUGAUGCACGAAAGCGUGGGUAUCAAACAGGAUUAGAUACCCUAGUAGUC